AUUGCACGCUGGCGGCAGGUCUAACACAUGCAAGUCGAGCGAGCGGCGGACGGGUGAGUAAUGUAUGGGGACUGCCCGUUAGAGGGGGAUAACUACUGGAAACGGUAGCUAAUACCGCAUACUAUCGGAUAACCCAUAUGGGAUUAGCUAGUAGGUGAGGUACUGGCUCACCUAGGCGACGAUCCCUCGCUGGUCUGAGAGGAUGAUCAGCCACGCGGGGACGGAGACACGGCCCAGACGCCUGCGGAGGCAGCAGGGGGGUAUAUUGCACAAUGGGCGCAAGCCUGAUGCAGCCAUGCCGCGUGUAUGAAGAAGGUCCUAGGGUUGUAAAGUACUUUCGGUCGGGAGGCGGUACCGACAGAAGAAGCACCGGCUAACUCCGUGCCAGCCGCCGCGGUAAUAC
rnacentral:rRNA from 1 species